UACAGAGGGUGCAAGCGUUAAUCGGAAUUACUGGGCGUAAAGCGUGCGUAGACGGUUAUGUAAGUCGGAUGUGAAAGCCCCGGGCUUAACCUGGGAAUUGCAUUCGAGACUGCAUAGCUAGGAUGCGGAAGAGGGAAGUGGAAUUUCCGGUGUAGCGGUGAAAUGCGUAGAUAUCGGAAGGAACAUCAGUGGCGAAAGCGACUUCCUGGUCCAGCAUCGACGUUCAGGCACGAAAGCGUGGGGAGCAAACAGG
rnacentral:rRNA from 1 species